rnacentral:lncRNA from 1 species
AUGCCCCGCAAGCCUAGGAGUAAACCCAGGCCUCAGUCUUUCAAAGGCCCAGACCCGCGGCCCCGGGCAGCACCGGGCGACACCGGGCGAGGUCCCGCGCGGUCCGGGUCACUGCGGCAUCCGCAUCCGGGCCUGGGGGUCGCGGGGGGCUCGUGGCACCGAGGGGCGCCCGGGUCAGCCGCCUGCGGUCCAGGCCGCGCCAGGGGGAGGGGCGGGAGCCCAGCGGGGGGGGCGCUGCGAGGUCGGGCUCGUGGGUGCUGCCGCCCAGGCCAGGCCCCCAGGGGGAGGGGCGCGGCCGGGCCCGGCGGGCGGGAGGGGCGGGGAGGGGGAGGGGGAGGAGGAGGAGGAGGAGGAGGAGGGAGCCGCGGCGGCGGAGCGGACGCCGGAAGGGCCCGGGCGGGUGAGCGGAAGGCGGCGGCGCUGGGGUGCGGGCGGGUGCGCGGGGACCGGGGAGGAGGCGGGGACGGGGACGCGGACGGAGACGGGGAGUGGGGAGGGGGAGGGGAGGGGUGCGCGGGGGCGGGGAGGGGUGCGGGGACCCGGGUGCGGGCGGCGCUGGGGGCGGGGCGCGCCGGGGCGGGGCUGCGGGCAGCAGGGCCUGGGGGGACGCGGGGCCUGAGGAGCCGGAGCCUGCGCGCCCCCGGGUCACGGCCCGGCAGGUGCAGGGCCUGGGUCUCCCCGGGUCGCGGCCGGCAGGUGCAGGGCCUGGGUCUCCCCGGGUCUCCCCGGGUCGCGGCCGGCAGGUGCAGGGCCUGGGCACCCACGGGAGAGGCCAGCGCCCGGGGCGCGGUGCAGGAGACCCACGGGCUGCGGGGCCCGCCCCCGGCGCCAGGUGUCCAGGGCCCGUAUGAACCACUGAGGCACGGAGAGGCCGAGUCACGGCCCAGGCAGCACAGGCGGCCUAGCGGGCUGCGACCCCGGGGGCGGGACUCAGGGCGCUGGCGCCGAGCGGGGCGUCCGCAGUGCCGGGCGUGCGUGAGCUCCGGGUCACGGGCUGUGCGCCCCUCCGGGGGAGCAGGGCGCGUCCUAGGAGGAUGCAGGUGCCAGCACCCGCCCGCCCCGCCCGCCCCGCCCGCCGGAAGUCCCGGGGAUGGGAGGAUGGGGAAGAUCCCGGGGGAGGGCAGGGAGGGCAGCCGGAGGCUCAAGGUUAGCGCCGCCCUCAGCCCAGGGCGUGACCCGGGAUCCCGGAUCGAGUCCUGCGUGGGUUCCCCGCGUGGAGCCUGCUUCCCCCUCGGCCUGGGUCUCUGCCUCUCUCUCUGUCUCUGUUUCUCAUGA